rnacentral:rRNA from 1 species
CUCAAUGGCGAUAUCACCCAGAAAGCUCUUGAUCUUGUCAGAUCUUAGAAGCUAAGCACGGUCAGGCCUGGUUAGUAUGUGGGUGGGAGAAUGGGGGCUGCUCUGUUCCCUUGGGAACCAGGACUCCAUCCUGAGA